rnacentral:rRNA from 1 species
UAGGGAAUCUUCCGCAAUGGACGAAAGUCUGACGGAGCAACGCCGCGUGAGUGAUGAAGGCUUUCGGGUCGUAAAACUCUGUUGUUAGGGAAGAACAAGUACAAGAGUAACUGCUUGUACCUUGACGGUACCUAACCAGAAAGCCACGGCUAACUACGUGCCAGCAGCCGCGGUAAUACGUAGGUGGCAAGCGUUAUCCGGAAUUAUUGGGCGUAAAGCGCGCGCAGGCGGUUUCUUAAGUCUGAUGUGAAAGCCCACGGCUCAACCGUGGAGGGUCAUUGGAAACUGGGGGACUUGAGUGCAGAAGAGAAAAGCGGAAUUCCACGUGUAGCGGUGAAAUGCGUAGAGAUGUGGAGGAACACCAGUGGCGAAGGCGGCUUUUUGGUCUGUAACUGACGCUGAGGCGCGAAAGCGUGGGGAGCAAACA